rnacentral:rRNA from 1 species
GGAGUGGACGCAUCACUGGUGUUCGGGUUGUCAUGCCAAUGGCACUGCCCGGUAGCUAAAUGCGGAAGAGAUAAGUGCUGAAAGCAUCUAAGCACGAAACUUGCCCCGAGAUGAGUUCUCCCUGACUCCUUGAGAGUCCUGAAGGAACGUUGAAGACGACGACGUUGAUAGGCCGGGUGUGUAAGCGCAGCGAUGCGUUGAGCUAACCGGUACUAAUGAACCGUGAGGCUUAACCUUACAACGCCGAAGGUGUUU